GUUGUAUAGUCAAGUAAUUAAGUGCAUGUGGUGGAUGCCUUGGCAGUCAGAGGCGAUGAAAGACGUGAUAGCCUGCGAAAAGCUCCGGGGAGGCGGCAAAUAUCCUUUGAUCCGGAGAUGUCUGAAUGGGGGAACCCACCUACUUUAAGGUAGGUAUUGCAACAUGAAUACAUAGUGUUGCAAGGCGAACGAGGGGAAGUGAAACAUCUCAGUACCCUUAGGAAAAGAAAUCAAUUGAGAUUCCCUCAGUAGCGGCGAGCGAACGGGGAUCAGCCCAUUAAGUUAUGUGUGUUUUAGUGGAACGCUCUGGGAAGUGCGAACGUAGAGGGUGAUAUUCCCGUACACGAAAGGGCACACAUAAUGAUGACGAGUAGGGCGAGGCACGUGAAACCUUGUCUGAAUAUGGGGGGACCAUCCUCCAAGGCUAAAUACUCCUGACUGACCGAUAGUGAACCAGUACCGUGAGGGAAAGGCGAAAAGAACCCCUGUGAGGGGAGUGAAAUAGAUCCUGAAACCGCAUGCAUACAAGCAGUGGGAGCACCUUCGUGGUGUGACUGCGUACCUUUUGUAUAAUGGGUCAGCGACUUAUAUUCAGUAGCGAGGUUAACCGUAUAGGGGAGCCGUAGAGAAAUCGAGUCUUAAUAGGGCGUUUAGUUGCUGGGUAUAGACCCGAAACCAGGCGAUCUAUCCAUGAGCAGGUUGAAGGUUGGGUAACACUAACUGGAGGACCGAACCCACUGUCGUUGAAAAGCCAGGGGAUGACUUGUGGAUAGGGGUGAAAGGCUAAUCAAGCCUGGUGAUAGCUGGUUCUCCCCGAAAGCUAUUUAGGUAGCGCCUCGGACGAAUACCAUAGGGGGUAGAGCACUGUUUCGGCUAGGGGGUCAUCCCGACUUACCAAACCGAUGCAAACUCCGAAUACCUAUGAGUACUAUCCGGGAGACAGACUGCGGGUGCUAACGUCCGUAGUCAAGAGGAAAACAAUCCAGACCGCCAGCUAAGGCCCCAAAAUCAUAGUUAAGUGGGAAACGAUGUGGGAAGGCAUAGACAGCUAGGAGGUUGGCUUAGAAGCAGCCACCCUUUAAAGAAAGCGUAAUAGCUCACUAGUCGAGUCGGCCUGCGCGGAAGAUGUAACGGGGCUAAAACUAUGUGCCGAAGCUGCGGAUNNNNNNNNNNAUGCUGGAGGUAUCAGAAGUGCGAAUGCUGACGUGAGUAACGACAAAACGGGUGAAAAACCCGUUCGCCGAAAGACCAAGGGUUCCAGUCCAACGUUAAUCGGGGCUGGGUGAGUCGACCCCUAAGGCGAGGCCGAAAGGCGUAGUCGAUGGGAAAAUGGUUAAUAUUCCAUUACUUCUGUGUAAUGCGAUGAGAGGACGGAGAAGGCUAAAUCAGCCUGGCGUUGGUUGUCCAGGUGAAAGGAUGUAGGCAUGUAUCUUAGGCAAAUCCGGGGUACUCUAUGCUGAGAUCUGAUAGCAAGCUGUACUUGUACAGCGAAGUGGUUGAUGCCAUGCUUCCAGGAAAAGUCUCUAAGCUUCAGUUACACAGGAAUCGUACCCGAAACCGACACAGGUGGUCAGGUCGAGUAGACCAAGGCGCUUGAGAGAACUCUGCUGAAGGAACUAGGCAAAAUGGUACCGUAACUUCGGGAGAAGGUACGCUGUUGUUGGUGAUGGAACUCGCUUCCUGAGCUGACGACAGCCGCAGAAACCAGGCCGCUGCAACUGUUUAUUAAAAACAUAGCACUCUGCAAACACGAAAGUGGACGUAUAGGGUGUGAUGCCUGCCCGGUGCUGGAAGGUUAAUUGAUGGGGUUAGCGUAAGCGAAGCUCUUGAUCGAAGCCCCAGUAAACGGCGGCCGUAACUAUAACGGUCCUAAGGUAGCGAAAUUCCUUGUCGGGUAAGUUCCGACCUGCACGAAUGGCAUAAUGAUGGCGGCGCUGUCUCCAGCAGAGGCUCAGUGAAAUCGAAAUCGCUGUGAAGAUGCAGUGUACCCGCGGCUAGACGGAAAGACCCCGUGAACCUUUACUGCAGCUUGACACUGAACUUUGACCUUACUUGUGUAGGAUAGGUGGGAGGCUUUGAAGCUGGAACGCUAGUUCCAGUGGAGCCGUCCUUGAAAUACCACCCUGGUAAUGUUGAGGUUCUAACUCUGUCCCGUGAUCCGGGACGAGGACCGUGUCUGGUGGGUAGUUUGACUGGGGCGGUCUCCUCCUAAAGAGUAACGGAGGAGUACGAAGGUGCGCUCAGCGUGGUCGGAAAUCACGCGUAGAGUAUAAAGGCAAAAGCGCGCUUAACUGCGAGACCCACAAGUCGAGCAGGUACGAAAGUAGGUCUUAGUGAUCCGGUGGUUCUGUAUGGAAGGGCCAUCGCUCAACGGAUAAAAGGUACUCUGGGGAUAACAGGCUGAUACCGCCCAAGAGUUCAUAUCGACGGCGGUGUUUGGCACCUCGAUGUCGGCUCAUCUCAUCCUGGGGCUGAAGCAGGUCCCAAGGGUAUGGCUGUUCGCCAUUUAAAGAGGUACGCGAGCUGGGUUUAGAACGUCGUGAGACAGUUCGGUCCCUAUCUACCGUGGGCGCUGGAAAUUUGAGAGGAUCUGCUCCUAGUACGAGAGGACCAGAGUGGACGAACCUCUGGUGUACCGGUUGUGACGCCAGUCGCAUCGCCGGGUAGCUAUGUUCGGAAGGGAUAACCGCUGAAAGCAUCUAAGCGGGAAGCCUACCUCAAGAUAAGAUUUCCCUAGGACUUUAUGUCCUCUAAAGAGCCGUUCGAGACUAGGACGUUGAUAGGUUGGAUGUGGAAGCAUAGUGAUAUGUGAAGCUGACCAAUACUAAUUGCUCGUGAGGCUUGACUAUACAACACCCAAGCAGUUG
rnacentral:rRNA from 1 species